CCCAUACUUGAACUGCUUCUU
rnacentral:misc_RNA from 1 species